ensembl:lncRNA
CUUGACAAUUAGUCUCUUCUCUUAUACUAGGCCUAACCUCGUGCGCUUGCCCGGAAUGAUCCUGCUCAUCUGAGGUGUACCACAGGAGGCCAGGUCUCCAUUCUGACUUUUGUUUUUUUUCUACCUAAGGGCAGUGAUGUUAUGCUGAGUGUAUGUAUUUUAGAGCCUCAGACAGAGGACAAAUGAUUAUUUACUUAUCUAGACAGACUUUCUAAACUAGCUAUAAUCGGUCUGACCUAUAUAUUUACAGAUAUUCUAUAUACAUAUCAGCAUUAUACCUGGUACUAAUGAAUUUACUUACUAAUAAAUUUUGUAGCAUCUAGUGCCCAAUGACAAUAUUCAAUAUUUUUAAUUUAACAUAUUUUUAGAUACAUUUUCAAUAACAGUUAUAGUCAUUGGUAAUAAUAAUAAUAAUAAUUUAAAAACGGUCAAAAAAUAAAUAAAUUAAUAAACACACACAAAAAAAAAAUACAUUGUGGGAAUCUAAAGAACACCACCCAGAAAAAGCAUCUUUGCAUAAAUAUAAUAAAUACAUUUAAAAUGAUAACAAUAAUAAAUAUUGACAAUACACACUUGAACUUAAUAAUAGAUAACAGACUUUUUAAAGGGGUCAUAUGAUGUGAUUUCAGGUUUUCCUUUCUCUUUGGAGUGUUACAAGCUGAUCGUGAAUAGAAGAGAUGCCUAAAGUUGCAAAGACUAAAGUCUUAAACCCAAAGAGAUAUUCUUUAUAAAAGUUAAGACUCGUCCACCCCCUCCUAAAACACGCCCCCACAUGUCUUUGUCCAGAUGUGGAAAGGUUUGCAUAAAGCCGACCCAUAUUGUUCAUGCAAAGAAAGAAUGCAUAACUUUAUUGUUGCUGCCACUGCAGCCGUCAUGUUGUGGAGAUGCUGUGUGUUUCGUUGUGAAAGCGAAAAUACUUUUUUUGGUCUUCCAAAAGAGGACACAACUAGAAAUCAGUGGUUAAGUUGUAUUAACAACACUGUACCAGAACAGUUCAACCCAAAUAUUCAGAUGUGUGCUGCACAUUUUAUGGAGGACUGUUUCCUGAACCUGGAAGAGAAGACUUCAAUGACGGUUGCUCUGAAGAGUGUCUCUCUGGGGUAUGACAGCAUUAACAAGCAUUGCUUGAAAACCCACAUUCCCAGCAGAGGCUGCACGCGUGGAGAUGCAGGUGUUUCUGGACAGGUACCGAACAUCUCUUGUGACUCCCGGAGAGCAGGGCUGUGUGGGUAAGAUGGGCCUGAGGGAAAAGCACGGGGGAGAGCAUUAAUAUAGAGGAAGUGCAGCACGCCUGUGAAAGAUCUGUCAUGUUUAGCCCUGGAUAAUACAAGACAGCCAGCACAUUUGGACUGAAACAUUCAGGUUCAGGGUGAGAGAAGGACAGAAGCAUCACGGUCAUUCAUACCGAGGGGAAACGUCUGCCCUCACAUUACUGAGCCAUAAAACUUCCAAAAAGUGCAUCUGCAUCUUUGAUAAUUAAGUUGCACGAUUGUUGUGGGGGAGAAAAAAAUGUGUUUUUGUGUGCAAAAAGAUCAAAUUCCAUUCAAAAGAUUAACUGCAUGGAAAACAAUUUGGCUUAUUUUAUUUAAAACAAGAUCAUAAAUUUAGUCUGGAUUUCAAACUAGAUUCCCUGCAUGCUAAAUUAAAACUGUAGAAACCAACAUCAUAAUACGAUAACGUUUAAUGCAGAAAUUAUUUUUUCUUCUUUGGUCAGGUCAUAUUUGGCAUCAGUUUUAGACCGGACUGCCUCAUAAAAAUAGGUGC